rnacentral:siRNA from 1 species
CAAGGUGUCUUGCCAUUUUCACAA